AAACUUUACACUGCGGGAAACCGCGAUAAGGGGACCCCGAGUGCCAGCACCUAGUGCUGGCUGUCCUACUGUCUAAAUAACAGUGGUUAGCAAGGGCCGGGCAAGACCGGUGCCAGCCGCCGCGGUAACACCAGCUCCACAAGUGGCAAUCGUAUUUAUUUGGCCUAAAGCGUCCGUAGCCGGUUUAGUAAAUUUUCUGUGAAAUUGUUGGGCUUAACCUAACGUCGUGCAGGAAAGACUGCUA
rnacentral:rRNA from 1 species